rnacentral:rRNA from 1 species
AUUGAGCGCUGGCGGCAUGCCUUACACAUGCAAGUCGAACGGUAACGGGCCUUCGGGUGCCGACGAGUGGCGAACGGGUGAGUAAUGUAUCGGAACGUACCUUUCAGUGGGGGAUAACGUAGCGAAAGUUACGCUAAUACCGCAUAUUCUGUGAGCAGGAAAGCAGGGGAUCGCAAGACCUUGCGCUGAUUGAGCGGCCGAUGUCAGAUUAGCUAGUUGGUGAGGUAAAGGCUCACCAAGGCGACGAUCUGUAGCGGGUCUGAGAGGAUGAUCCGCCACACUGGAACUGAGACACGGUCCAGACUCCUACGGGAGGCAGCAGUGGGGAAUUUUGGAAAAUGGGGGCAACCCUGAUCCAGCCAUGCCGCGUGAGUGAAGAAGGCCUUCGGGUUGUAAAGCUCUUUCGGCCGGGAAGAAAUCGCACGGGCUAAUACCCUGUGUGGAUGACGGUACCGGCAUAAGAAGCACCGGCUAACUACGUGCCAGCAGCCGCCGUAAGAC